rnacentral:snoRNA from 2 species
UUGCAUUGUGGUAUGUCGGUGAAAGCUCAGCACUUUCUGAGUGUAACCAUUAUACCAAUGCUAGAUGAACCCCAUCUUGCAGAAGGGUGAGGUCUGACAGUGGCGUUCUCUCUUUCGAAAGUUGGGUACAUUA